GUGGAAUCAUCUGUCUCCUGAAGUCAUCCUGUGAUAUACGCUGUGGACAGAAAAGAUUAAAGAAACAAACUGGCAAGGGCGUAUUUAUGCAACGUGACAAGAACAUACACAAGGAAGGAUGAUGUCAUAAUUGAGAAGACCCGAGUUCUACUUCCAGAAGAUAGCUGUAUGAAAAGAAAGCUGGGUAUGAUGCAGCCUGAAGCUGUACGGCCAUAACAGGCCCAAAGAGGUAGAGCCCAAAUGCUGAGCCUCGAAGUCCGUCAUGGAAAGCCAUCGUCCGGCAGACACUCUGAUGUGGGAUAAGGGAGCAUCAGACUUCCAUGCCACUCAG